rnacentral:rRNA from 1 species
UACGUAGGGACCAAGCGUUGUCCGGAAUCAUUGGGCGUAAAGAGCGUGUAGGCGGCUUGUUAAGUCUUGCGUGAAAUCUCGGGGCUCAACCCCGAGCGGUCGUGAGAAACUGGCAGGCUAGAGUGCGGGAGAGGAGAGUGGAAUUCCUGGUGUAGCGGUGAAAUGCGCAGAUAUCAGGAAGAACACCCGUGGCGAAAGCGGCGCGCUGGACCACUACUGACGCUGAGGAACGAAAGCGUGGGGAGCAAACAGG